rnacentral:snoRNA from 1 species
UGCAUGACGAUUYAUAGCACUGGGCACUGAUAUAUAUGAGUGACACUGCUUAUUAAGUGAGCCUCAGAAACUCACUGUUACUGAUUUCG